rnacentral:rRNA from 1 species
UACGGAGGAUCCAAGCGUUAUCCGGAUUUAUUGGGUUUAAAGGGUGCGUAGGCGGAUUGAUAAGUUAGAGGUGAAAUGUCCGAGCUCAACUCGGGAACUGCCUCUAAUACUGUUGAUCUAGAGAGUAGAUGCGGUAGGCGGGAUGUAUGGUGUAGCGGUGAAAUGCUUAGAGAUCAUACAGAACACCGAUUGCGAAGGCAGCUUACCAAUCUAUAUCUGACGUUGAGGCACGAAAGCGUGGGGAGCAAACAGG